rnacentral:rRNA from 1 species
UGGGGAAUAUUGGACAAUGGGGGCAACCCUGAUCCAGCAAUGCCGCGUGUGUGAAGAAGGUCUUCGGAUUGUAAAGCACUUUCGACGGGGACGAUGAUGACGGUACCUGUAGAAGAAGCCCCGGCUAACUUCGUGCCAGCAGCCGCGGUAAUACGAAGGGGGCUAGCGUUGCUCGGAAUGACUGGGCGUAAAGGGCGUGUAGGCGGUUUACACAGUCAGAUGUGAAAUCCCCGGGCUUAACCUGGGAGCUGCAUUUGAUACGUGUAGACUAGAGUGUGAGAGAGGGUUGUGGAAUUCCCAGUGUAGAGGUGAAAUUCGUAGAUAUUGGGAAGAACACCGGUGGCGAAGGCGGCAACCUGGCUCAUGACUGACGCUGAGGCGCGAAAGCGUGGGGAGCAAACAGGUUAGAUACCCUGGUAGUCCACGCUGUAAACGAUGUGUGCUAGAUGUUGGGUAC